GAUUACACAACUCACACUAAUUUUAUUCCACACACGGCUGUUUCUCAUUAGAAGCCAGAACCUUAUUUUUUCCUGUCCCAUGCCAUCCCCUUCUGAUUCAGAAACUGCAAACCUGUGUCCCAGACCUUCUCCGGGUAGGAUGAAGCGCAGACACGUGACACUACCGCAUCUGGAGAGAAACUGCCAAGCAGCUCAAAGCCCAGGCCCCCCUGAGCCUCAGGAGAAGCAGCCCUCCUCCACUUCUCCGGUGCCCCUCUGCCCCAUGUCCUGUUUUUACUUAGAACGAGCCUGAGCACAUAUGCCACCUUGCCAGGCCUCGCCAGAGUCUCCCAAUGGCACAGAGCGCACAUUACACAGAUGGAAUGCAACAUACAUGUAAAGAAAUAAGAGCACUGCCAGGAAAGUUGGCAGCGGCUCCGGAAUGCUUUAAACAGUGUGCAUGUGGGUAGAGAGAGUGAGCCCGGAGUCGGGGAGGCUGCCUCACUCCCAAGAGCUGUUUCUUUUACAGCCAUGACCUGUUUUGCCAGUCAAAAUAAAUACGGUGUUAAAUGCC